ACGUUUCUCUCGUCUUCUGGUCUUCAUUUGUUGACCUUUCUCAUGUCUUCUUUCUGUUUACCAUUUCCUUACAUUCAGAAAUGUUUUAUUGCACUCUUGAUUUUUUUUUUUUUUUUUGGAAGAAAGUAAUCAUGACAAUGUUGAAAACCUUUUCUUGUUAACAGCUUAUUGAGUUCUGUAUUUUUAUUGUUGUUGUGUUUUUCACUUUUUGGCUGCCCGAGUCAUGUGAUAAAGGUCAUGUUAUUUAUAUCAAGAAUAGAACAGUUUAUCAAUCAUUUGAAUCGGACCCAUUGAUCUGUUUUGGAAGAUGUCGGCCAUUUUAAACGUGAUCCGUACGUUUCUUCUCCAACACAAAGUGAGCAAUUUGGAUUCAUGUUGACUCAAUGAAUUAUGAAGAAAUAUGCUGUGAUGUUGUGCUCAGAAGACGUGAUGUCAAUUUUGUCAAAACAAAAAAAAAGGAAAGCAGGAAAUGACUUGUACCAUUGCUAAAAACAAAGCUUUUUCAACUUCUAAGGAAUGCACCUAGACGUCACCUCAUGAGCACAACGUCAAUCUUGUCUUGAGACUUUUAUUUCAGUGAAAAUGCCUUUUAUGACGUCACAAAACUGAAAUGAGAAAUUAAAAAAGUACGACAUGAAAACUUG